rnacentral:misc_RNA from 1 species
AAAGUCGUAACAAGGUUUCCGUAGGUGAACCUGCGGAAGGAUCAUUACCUUUCAAUGCUGAAACGGGGGGUCGAGGCAGGUUACCUGUCUUUUCCCCUUGCUUCAAGUAUUAUCACCCUUGUUUUUUUGCGCACUCAUGUUUCCUCGGCAGGCUUGCCUGCCGGUUGGACAACCUAUAAAACCUUUUUAAUUUUCAAUCAGCGUCUGAAAUAAUUUAAUAAUUACAACUUUCAACAACGGAUCUCUUGGUUCUG